rnacentral:lncRNA from 1 species
UUCCAGAACCUCACCUUUAGUGGUGAGACCAAUAUCAAUAUUACUCAGCAUAUAAUAUGUAGCCUUAAACCUAAUAGCUCCCACUAAGACAACUACUGCUUUCUCGCAUUAAACCAAAAUGAUGAAUUUAAUAACUAUCUAUAGUGUAAAUAGAAAUUUUGUUAAAAUGGUUUACAAUUUCAAAGGGUGUAUUUGAGAACAGAGUAGUGUAGUGUAUAAUAUUUGUGAGGGAGUUAGAGAGAAGCUAGAAGUAAAAAUUCACAGGAAGUGUGGAAGAGGAGCUGGCAGAGAUUGGCUGUUGAUUGGAGAGAAGUUGGAAAGAAAAUUGCAUAAAAAGUAUCCUUUUCCAAAUAUGGUAGAGAGAUUAGUGAAUCAAAAAAUAAAAUAAAUCUUGCUAGAAAGUCGAACCGUCUCUGUCAGUGUUCAACAGUUUCUCAGCUCUGACUCUGAUGUCUCUCGGGAUCUCCAAACCCAGAUCAGCCCUUGCAAACCUAGUCUCUAGCCUACAAACCUGGAUUUCAAAUACCUCAGGCUCUGCCAUUUGUAGUCCCAAGGUCUCAAUGCUGCUCCUACUUGCAGAGAGACCACCAGGAAUACACUCAUGCAAACGAGCAACAGCAAGAGAUGCAGCAGCAAUACCCAGGCCACUAGCACUCUCAGCAGGAAGACCCCAGGGUCCUCCAAACCCACAGGUACCCCAACACUGGACCUGCAGGUCCUGAUUGGAGUCCCCAGACAGAGGGUCUUGUGGUGGUAAACCUGCUGGCACCCAGGUCCCAGGCCCUGGCUGGUAUCCCAAAAUGGGUGCAGCCACAUGCAACCAAACCUGGAAUCUCCCCUGCAGCAGUCCUCUAGGCCGUGGUAGCAGCAGUAGUGGCGGCUGCAUUGGCAGUUACAACUGCAGCUGUGGGAGCAGCGUCACCAGGUGAUCUCCAGGGGUCAGCAGCAAUGUGGGCUUCAGUUGCAUCCACAGUUUCUUCUGUGGCAGCAGCACCCAGAAAGAAAACCUCCAGGUGAUCUCAGUCUAGCAGUAGAGAAAUCAGAGGCAGCAGCAAUAGCGGUAGUGGUGCAGGUGGCGGUUGAGUAACAGGAGACUUCCGGUUCAGCGGCAGUGACCAUGGAGGUAGCAUCAGAAUCGAGUCAGGGGUAACCAGGUAGUGCCCAGAAAAGAGACCUCUGGACACAGCAGUGGCUUCUGCAGCAGCCCAGAAAGAAAACCUCCAGAGGACCUCAGGCUGGCAGCAGUAGAGUCAGAGGCAGCAGCAAUUGACAUAUGGGUUUUUAUUCUGCCAUAAAGAAGAAUGAAAUUGUGGCAUUUGCUGGUAAAUGGAUGGAAAUGGAAAAUAUCAUGUUAAGUGAAAUAAGACAUAUUCAGAAAGCUAAGGGUCCAAUGUUUUCUCUUGUGUGUGGAAGCUUGAGCAAAAUAAGAGGGAAACAGGCAGAGGGAGCCCAUGAAAAUAAAAAGGGUAGGAUAGGUAGGGGGCAGAUGGGAAGGAAGCAGGAAGAGGGAAAGAGGGGACUGCAAAGUACACCCUGCCAAAUCCUGCUGUGCACAUAUAGGAAUAUACCACCGUGACUUUCACUAUUGUGUGUAUCUAUAAAGCAGGAAUUAAAACAAUAGGCAAAUAGAAGGAAGACCAGUAGAGGAGAGGAAUGGGACAGGGGGAGGGAGGAGGGAAAGGAAAGGAGAAGUACUGGGAAUUGAAAUGGAGCACAUUAAUUCCAUGCAUGUAUGGUUGUGUCAAAAUGAAUUGAAAUAUUAUGUAUGUGAUAAUACAGUAAUAAAAAUAUGUAUAAAAGAAAAAGCAUUCUGGGCUGGAGUUGUUGCUCAGUGGUAGAGCGCUCGCUUCAC